GUAUUGGUCGGGGGAGACUGAACCUACCGUUGAGGUCUCUAAGUUGUGCAUGUCUCUCAGUGACCUACAACUUACAAACGGAUGUAAAAGAGCUCAAAGACAAUGCAGGACUAGAAUCAGAUAGAUUACAUGGAGUUGUAUCCUAUGAACAAGGAAAAGGUUUUCAUUGAAACACACAUUUUUUCUAGAAUGUUAAAAUCAAGUAGAUAGUUAGCAUUCCCUUAAAAAGAAGUUCCAGUUACUAGGGUGACCAGAUUCCUCUCAUGGGCAUUUCUAGGCUGAGGCCUGAUCACGGCCCAGUGGACACCAAUGACAUCACAAAGUGGAGGUUGUCACUAAGGCAACUGAUGACCAGUGAGGGGCUGGAGCACAGGGGUAUAGUGGGCUGCAGUAAGCACUGGCACCUUGAGAGACUCAGGCCAGCAGAAAAAUCAAGCUGUGACAACCGGGGCAAAACCCAGCAAACAUCAUGGCUGGAAACAAACACAGUCGCAGCUCCUGUAAGCCUAGAAGACAGUGCCCUUCCCGUUCCAGAAGAGCGGAGCUGCAGUUUCCUGUUAGCCACAUGGAACGCUGCCUGCGAGAAGGCAGGCAAGGAGGCCCAGAACAGCCACAGGGUGUGCAUCACCCCAGAACACCUGAAGAGAGCACUGCAAAAGAAUGAGCAGCUAAGAUGGAUCUUGGAGGAGGAAGAUGACAUCCACUCUCAGGAAGAAGAAAUGCCCCAACCUGAGGAGGAGGAGGAGGAGGACGAGAGAAUGGAGGAGGAGGAAGAGGAGAAAAAGGAGGAGGAGGAGGAGGAGGAGGAGGAGGAGAAGGAGGAGGAGGAGGAGGAUGAGAGAAUGGAGGAGGAGGAAGAGGAGAAAAAGGAGGAGGAGGAGAAGAAGGAGGAGAAGGAGAAGGAGGAGGAGAAGGAGAAGAAGAAGAAGAAGGGAGGAUUCCUGAGUUUCAGAGCUGUGCAGGACUUCAUCAGCAACCUCUUCCAGCUGCUAAAAUUCCCAUAGAUGAAAGACCCCAGGCAACUCAUUGUGAAGAUGCCCACCCCACCACUGGGUGAUUCCUUAUGGAGAACUAUAGAGCAUUCCCAGCCUUAGCCCAGAUCGUCACUUUCUCUUCUGUGCAUUUGAGAAGCAAGCAGGCGUCUCUCCAGCAUCUGCAGGUAGGGAGUCUCCUUCAGCUGAUCACAUCAUGGUGACAGCAGCACCCCCUCCCCUUGCCAAAGUGAAACAUCUUUGUUUUCAG
rnacentral:lncRNA from 1 species